UGGAACUAUGUCAGUAUGUCACUCC
rnacentral:piRNA from 1 species